CGGCUUUGUCGGAACACUAGCCCCGCCGCUCGCCCAGCGGCCGCCGCGGCAGUUUCGGCUCGCUCUCGCCGGCCGCUGUCUCCGCCGCGGUCGUCGGACGCCCCGACGCCUCCUCCUCCGCGCUUGAGCGAAGCCAUCUUCGGCACCAGCCUCCUCGCCAUCCACCGGACCCACCAAUUCCCAAAACCCUAGCGCCAAAAUCCCCCAUUUCGGUCGCGCCAAUCGGAACCGGAUUUCCUCGGUUCCCGGCUGGCGCCGGCGGCGAGUUGAGCCUCGCUCUCGCCUCGCCUCACCACAUGUUGCAGCGAGCGCGUGCAUGAACUCUGCGAUGGAUGAGAUCAACCUGAUGCGGCAGGCGCAGCGGCAGCACCAGCACCACCUCAUGGUGCGCGGCAUGGGCGAGGAGAUUGACCUCGAGAUCGGCCCGGGCGACGACCCCUCCUUCUCCGGCGCAGACCUCGUCGCCGUCGCUUCCGGGCACCACGACAACGUCGUCCCCACCGACGAACACAAGACCCUCCUUAUCCCAUGCUCUGGCGCCGUGGACGGGCAUGCGCAGCCUCCGGCGCCGCAGCCACCACUGCCGCACGGGGAGGAGCAUGACGGGAUACUCCGGCUGCCUUCGGCGCACACCAAGAAGAAGAAGAAGGUGGUGAAGAAAUGGCGGGAGGAGUGGGCGGAUACCUACAAGUGGGCUUAUGUCGCCGUGCACGACAACACCCCCAGGAUCUUCUGCUCGGUGUGCAAGGAGUACGGCCGGAAGCACCGGCGGAACCCGUAUGGCAAUGAGGGAAGCAGGAACAUGCAGAUGAGUGCGCUUGAGGAGCACAACAAUAGCUUGCUGCAUAAGGAGGCCCUUCGGUUGCAGAUGGCCUCCAAGGAGAAGUUGCAGCCCCCCGAGAUCGAGAGGCCGGUCUAUGUCAAAGCUUUGUCGAAAACAGCUGCAUCAAUACUUGAAUCUGUCCUAAGGAGGGAUCCCUAUGAAGCUGAAUUUAUACAGUCAAUCCAGGAGGUGGUUCAUUCCUUGGAACCAGUUUUGGUGAAGAACACUCAAUAUGUUCAAAUUUUGGAGCGUUUGUUGGAACCUGAGAGAUGCUUUAUCUUCAGAGUACCAUGGAUUGAUGACAGAGGUGAAGCACAUGUCAAUAGAGGUUUCCGUGUGCAAUUCAGUCAGGCAUUAGGUCCAUGCAGGGGUGGUCUUCGGUUUCACCCAUCCAUGAGCUUAAGUGUGGCAAAGUUUCUGGCCUUUGAACAUGCAUUGAAGUACCAUUCAAUAGCAAAACUACGCAAGUGCAUGCAGUGAUGUAAACUUGCAACCUUGACUAAGUCACAUUUGCCUCUAAAGCCAUGGGUGCGAUUUGCUUAAUACUGGAGACUUUGAAGAAUGCUUUGUCGUUAUAUAAACUUGGAGGUGCUGCUGGAGGAAGUGAUUUUGAUCCAAAGGGUAAAAGUGAUAAUGAGAUAAUGCGUUUUUGUCAAAGUUUCAUGGAUGAGCUAUAUAGAUAUUUGGGCCCUGAUCAGGAUUUUCCCGCUGAAGACAUUGGUGUUGGUCCAAGGGAAAUGGGUUACCUUUUUGGGCAGUAUAGAUGCCUUUCUGGUCAUUUUCAGGGAAAUUUUACAGGACCUAAAAUCUUCUGGUCUGGUUCAAGUUUUCGAACAGAAGCUACUGGAUAUGGGCUGGUAUUUUUUGCACGUCUUUUACUUGCUGAAAUGAACAAAGAGCUUAAAGGAUUAAGAUGCGUGAUCAGUGGUUCUGGAAAGAUAGCAAUGCAUGUUUUGGAAAAGCUUCUGUCAUGUGGAGCCAUUCCUGUUACAGUCUCAGGUAACCAGACUCAAAAUCUUUUGGAUUAAACAUAGGACAUACCUGAGGUAUCAUGAUUUGGAAGAGCAUGUUAUUAUUAUUGGUAUCAGAGAUACCUGUAUUUAAGCAGAUUUAUCAUAAUUACUCAUAUGUGUUUGCCACUUUGCCUAUCCACAACUCCACAAUUUCACAUCAGUAACAUGUACAAUUUAGUAGUGCUCAUUUAUGCUUUCAAAAUAAAAACUUACAGGUAAUACACACGUAUGUUAUUUAUAGGUUUGCCUUUGUUAGCAUUCUUUGAACAACUGUACAAAUGACUUUCGAAGUUCGGUUUGUUUUAAGGAAUUAUACCAAACGAGUAGGUAGAUUAUGGAUGCACCUACUACAGAAAAAUAGUCAUAUUACAAUAACUAGCAUUUCUAAUGAAGGCCCAACUGUCGGUUAUCAUAUAUUGUUGCAGAUUCAAAGGGCUAUUUGGUAGAUGAAGAUGGGUUCGAUUAUAUGAAAUAUUCACUUCUUAGGGAUAUUAAGGCUCAGCAAAAGAGCCUCAAGUGGGUACAUGCCUUUCCCUUGUGUAUAGUUCAUAUAUGUUGGAGUUUUGAGAUAUUUCUCCAUUUAAUCAAACAGGGAGUACUUGAAAUCAUAUCCACAUGCCAAGUAUAUAGAUGAUGCAAAACCAUGGAGUGAGCAGUGUGAUGUUGCAUUUCCUUGUGCCUCACAUAAUGAAAUUGACCAAGGGGAGGCUGUCGCAAUAAUUAAAUCAGGUUGCCGUGUUCUUAUAGAGUGUUCAAAUAUGCCAUGCACCGUUCAAGCAGUUGAUAUCCUAAGAAAGGCAAAAGUCCUUGUUGCUCCAGCAAAGGCAACUGCUGCUGGUGGGGUAGCCUUUGGAGAACUUGAAUUGAACCCCGAGUUUAAUUUGAUGCAGUUGUCGGUGGAGGAUUUUGAGAAUAAAAUCCAGGAUGCAAUAAAGCAAACAUACGAAAGGUCAAUCAAAGCUGCUCAAGAUUAUGGAAUCAUGAAAGAGAACCCUGAGUCAUUGGUGCAUGGUGCCAACAUUUGUGCUUUCCAUAAUAUUGCCCAAGCCAUGACCGAUCAAGGAUGUGUCUAGUUAGACCUUUGAUUUAGUCAAGGAGCUACAACUAGAGUGUCCUGCAACUGUGCAGGGGGAAAAUAUAAUUUUCUGCUAAGUGCUUCGACACCUUCAGCUUGUGCUACUAUAAAUCGUGGAGCACUCCAAAAUGCAAAGUACUUGGAAUUCACCCUUGGCUUAUGCUAGAAAAUGGGUGACUCACAAGAGCUUCCCUUGAUCUGGAAGGAAAGCCAGCUCAGGUUGUAGAUCCCCGAUGUAUUAUCCAUUGUUAUAAACAUCAAUUUCAAUGGGAAGUAAAUAGAAGCAAUUCUUUUGUAUGCAUAGCCCAUACUUGUUAGUCCACUGAUAGGUUGACAAUUGUGUAACAGAUGUAAAUCUACAGGUAGAUCUAGCAAUGACUCCGAUGAACCUGCUAUAUGUAAUUGUUGAAUCCCCAUAAGGCAAGACAAAUCGAACUUUGAUAAACUAUUGAGCUCAAA